rnacentral:rRNA from 1 species
AGAGUUUGAUCCUGGCUCAGGAUGAACGCUAGCUACAGGCUUAACACAUGCAAGUCGAGGGGCAGCAUGGUCUUAGCUUGCUAAGGCUGAUGGCGACCGGCGCACGGGUGAGUAACACGUAUCCAACCUGCCGUCUACUCUUGGACAGCCUUCUGAAAGGAAGAUUAAUACAAGAUGGCAUCAUGAGUCCGCAUGUUCACAUGAUUAAAGGUAUUCCGGUAGACGAUGGGGAUGCGUUCCAUUAGAUAGUAGGCGGGGUAACGGCCCACCUAGUCAACGAUGGAUAGGGGUUCUGAGAGGAAGGUCCCCCACAUUGGAACUGAGACACGGUCCAAACUCCUACGGGAGGCAGCAGUGAGGAAUAUUGGUCAAUGGGCGAUGGCCUGAACCAGCCAAGUAGCGUGAAGGAUGACUGCCCUAUGGGUUGUAAACUUCUUUUAUAAAGGAAUAAAGUCGGGUAUGCAUACCCGUUUGCAUGUACUUUAUGAAUAAGGAUCGGCUAACUCCGUGCCAGCAGCCGCGGUAAUACGGAGGAUCCGAGCGUUAUCCGGAUUUAUUGGGUUUAAAGGGAGCGUAGAUGGAUGUUUAAGUCAGUUGUGAAAGUUUGCGGCUCAACCGUAAAAUUGCAGUUGAAACUGGCAGUCUUGAGUACAGUAGAGGUGGGCGGAAUUCGUGGUGUAGCGGUGAAAUGCUUAGAUAUCACGAAGAACUCCGAUUGCGAAGGCAGCUUGCUGGACUGUAACUGACGCUGAUGCUCGAAAGUGUGGGUAUCAAACAGGAUUAGAUACCCUGGUAGUCCACACAGUAAACGAUGAAUACUCGCUGUUUGCGAUAUACAGUAAGCGGCCAAGCGAAAGCGUUAAGUAUUCCACCUGGGGAGUACGCCGGCAACGGUGAAACU